ACCAAACUAUCUGUCACCACUAAGAACCAAACAUAAACAAAGCCAAGCGCUCCCACCCAACCAACUCGGUCGGCCGAAGCCGCUCCAUCUCCCCCACAGGGGCAACUCACUUACACAUUUCGGGUUUUACAGACAUAAAUAAAUACGCUUUUAAGACCAAAACUUGGCCGCCGUCUUUGACUUUACGCGGACAAAGCUGAGAAUUCGUUCCCUGGAAAGGGCUAAGGGCGCCGCGGAGUGUUAUGCUCUACCAGUCAUGUAUUGGUAGAGCUGGCAUGGAAACACGGCACACAAAGAGGCCGUCCAUAUACCACGUGGACAAAUUGUAAGCCCUUUUUGAACCCCCCUCCCUCGUGGACAAUCGUGGAUUUUUAACUAACACCCCCCCCCCCCCCCCCCUAUUUUUGACCACCUUUUUAUUGACAAUUUUUUUAAAUUUAAAUUUAAAAGUGGAAUCACUGUGCACGGCAGUACACGUAGUGGCGAAGCGCGCAAGAGAGCGUUCGAAGACAUCUACUAUUUAUAUCCGCAGAAUUGAAAAUCUGCCAUUAUGGUCCGAUCGUAAGGAGUGAUACACCAAUGGAAAGGUAUUGCAAAAACUAAGAAGAUUGCAUACCAAGACUUUCAAAAUACAGAUUUGUUUCGGAGAAAAGGCGGUGAAAGUGUAAAAGUAAAAAUUUAGAAAAUUGGAGCUGCUGGAUACGGUGGGGAUAAAAGCCCCCGGCUGUUUAACUAGUUUCAUUCUUACUGAGAAUACGCUUCGAAUGGCACCUCAUUUAUUCAAAACCCCCGUUCAAAAGAAUUUCAAAAAACAAGAUUUUCAUCUUCCCAAAAUGAAAAUGUUUGUCCCUUUGUGGGUUUGUAUGCAUCCCAUCUUAGUUUUAGGGUUUUGGAAACAAUAUGGGUGUAUAAAGUAGCUUAAA